rnacentral:rRNA from 1 species
GUGCCAGCAGCCGCGGUAAGACAGAGGGGGCAAGCGUUGCUCGGAAUCACUGGGCGUAAAGGGCGCGUAGGCGGGAUGGCAAGUCGGUCGUGAAAUCCCUGGGCUCAACUCAGGGGGGUCGGCCGAUACUGCCGUUCUUGAGGGAUGCAGAGGAGACUGGAAUUCCCGGUGUAGCGGUGAAAUGUGUAGAGAUCGGGAGGAACACCGGUGGCGAAGGCGGGUCUCUGGGCAUUCCCUGACGCUGAGGCGCGAAAGCGUGGGGAGCAAACGGGAUUAGAAACCCUCGUAGUCC